GAUCCUGGCUCAGGAUGAACGCCAGCUACAGGCUUAACACAUGCAAGUCGAGGGGCAUCAGGAAGAAAGCUUGCUUUCUUUGCUGGCGACCGGCGCACGGGUGAGUAACACGUAUCCCAACCUGCCCUUUACUCGGGGAUAGCCUUUCGAAAGAAAGAUUAAUACCCGAUGGCAUAAUGAUUCCGCAUGGUUUCAUUAUUAAAGGAUUCCGGUAAAGGAUGGGGAUGCGUUCCAUUAGGUUGUUGGUGAGG
rnacentral:rRNA from 1 species